rnacentral:rRNA from 1 species
UACAGAGGGGGCAAGCGUUGUUCGGAAUUACUGGGCGUAAAGGGCGCGUAGGCGGCCUGCUAAGUCGAACGUGAAAUCCCCGGGCUUAACCCGGGAACUGCGUCCGAUACUGGCUGGCUUGAAUCCGGGAGAGGGAUGCGGAAUUCCAGGUGUAGCGGUGAAAUGCGCAGAUAUCAGGAGGAACACCGGUGGCGAAGGCGGGACUCUGGGCCGAUACUGACGUGAGGAGCGAAAGCGUGGGGAGCAAACAGG